GCCUUCUAUAUUGCCCUCUUUAGCUAUGACGGGGUGGUGUGAGGAGCGUCACCCAACUGAGAUGGGUGCCUCUCAUCAUAAAGCCUAAAAGUCAUUGCAGAAUCUAAAUCAAUGUAAGCGAAGUAAAUAUAAGCUAACUUGUGAAAACACUGACUAAAUUUUAAGCUUAAUUUAUGGUGGCGACGGUGAUCGGAGCUGGCAGUGGCAAUGGUGGCGGCGAUGAUCGAAGGUGGGUGGUGGUGAUGAUCGGAGGUGAGUGGCGGUGGUAGGUGGUGGCAGCGGCGGUGGAGGGUGGCGGCGAAGAUGGUGACGGCGGCGGAUGACGGUGGUGGUGGUGGUGGUGGGUGGUGGUAGCAACGAUGGUGGGUUAUGGUGUUGUUAAUAAAGGGUGAAGAAGGAAUGAAAUGGAAAAAAAACAGAGAGGACGGAUGGAAUGAUUUUGAGAGGAUGAAAUGCAUUUUGGAAUGAACGAUUCCAUUCCAUCGACCAACCAAAUAUUUUUUUCUUCAUUCCCCCACAAUGAUGUAUUCCAUUCCACCUCUUGUUUCUACGUACCAAACGCUACCUAAUAAAAAUGUAACGCAUUAAUUUACUAAUAAAAACCUAAGGCGUAGUUGAUAUCAAAAUUAUUUCAUUUCUUAAUUAAUUUAGAUUAUGUUUCUGUUAAUGUCUACUCCCCAUCAAGAAUUCCAUAACAAACUCAAAGUAUAUCAAGUGACCUUUACACAAUUGGAAGGACACCACAAAAAGUAA
rnacentral:lncRNA from 1 species